GACGAACGCUGGCGGCGUGCUUAACACAUGCAAGUCGAACGGAAAGGCCCUGCUUGCAGGGUGCUCGAGUGGCGAACGGGUGAGUAACACGUGGGUGAUCUGCCCCUUACUUUGGGAUAAGCCUGGGAAACUGGGUCUAAUACUGGAUAGGACCAUGCUGUAGGUGGUGUGGUGGAAAGAUUUUUUCGGUAAGGGAUGAGCUCGCGGCCUAUCAGCUUGUUGGUGGGGUAAUGGCCUACCAAGGCGUCGACGGGUAGCCGGCCUGAGAGGGUGGACGGCCACAUUGGGACUGAGAUACGGCCCAGACUCCUACGGGAGGCAGCAGUGGGGAAUAUUGCACAAUGGGCGCAAGCCUGAUGCAGCGACGCCGCGUGGGGGAUGACGGCCUUCGGGUUGUAAACUCCUUUCAGCCAUGACGAAGCCUCUUUUGGGGUGACGGUAGUGGUAGAAGAAGCACCGGCUAACUACGU
rnacentral:rRNA from 1 species